GCAAGUUGAACGAGAAUUUUCUAAUGGAUCCUUCGGGUGAAGUUGGAGAAGGACAGUAGCGAACGGGUGAGUAACGCGUGAAUAACCAACCCUCCACUGGGGGACAACAACUGGAAACGGUUGCUAAUACCGCAUAAGACCACAGUAACACAUGUUACGGUGGUAAAAACUACGGUGGUGGAGGACGGAUUCGCGUUCCAUUAGCUAGUAGGUAGGGUAAUGGCCUACCUAGGCUUUGAUGGAUAGCCGAGCUGAGAGGCUGAUC
rnacentral:rRNA from 1 species